GCCAGAGGAGUGCUUGAUCCCAAGUCCUAGAGCGCCACCUGCCGUUCGCCGCUGUGGUUUGCCUCCAUUUGUAAAUACAUCUGUACAGGAACUAGUUAAAAAUAUGUAAAUCAAAUAAAUUCUGUUUAGGUAGGGGAGGAAAAUAUCCAUACCCAUGAUCAGUAUGAACAGGAGCCUGCAUUAUAUUGAGAGGCUGGAGUGCAGAAAUAAACUUGUGAUAACCCAGAGUUUUGUUCCCUUGGCCAGCCUUCCAGCCAUGGCUUUGAGAAGGAUAAAGCACUGAUGAACAGAAAUUCUUCUCCCUCAAGCUGAGCCAGUGCUACAGUUCCUUCAUCUCUCUGCUCACUCCAUUGUGCUAUUGCAUGACUCCUGCGUAAGAUUCAAGACAUGCCACACGCAAUGGUUCGUCUUGUAUAAAUGUCAGAUUCCGAGUUCUGUUAUCUGCAUGGCACUUGCAGUUGCUGUUUGAAGACAGCAUCUUCCACUGACACCAACAAUUGUGAAAGACGAGCAUAUCUGUACUUGCAGGUCUGAACGAGGAACCCAGGAAAGUGGUAAGGUCACAAUGAAGGGAAGGCAGGAGAAUAAAACCCUAAGCAUUAGCUGCAUGCCAUCGCCUCCAGGUGGCUGAGCACAACUCUGAGCCAGAGCCGAAAGCAAAGUGGUACUUGCUAUUCCAGCGUUGGUUAAGAGGGUAGGACUGAAAAUGGAAGAAAUAGGAGCUAGCAAGGAAAGUCACUGCCCAACUCCCUGCCGGGGCAGUGCAGUAACACCCAACAUCCCACCUCGUUGCAGCAGCAGUCAUAAGGUGCCAAAGAAAUCAGUGCACUCUACAAGUUUUAUGCCUUCUAGCAGUUCUAUUCGCUUCAGACAAUUGGAUCAGCAUUGUACAGCUGCUAUUCCUGCAGUUUUUCAUCAUUUGUCUGAGUUUCUACCAGGGAUAAAACAAGAGAGGGCAAUUCAUCUCUUAGCCAAAGGAAAAGAGCUGGCAUUUCUCUCCCGAUGAAGCAACACAAGGUGUGAUAAAAAGUCUGUGUGAUUUGAAUAGAGGUGUAAUUCACUGGGGAAAUUCAUAAGUAGCAUACAGCAUCUCCCUUGGACCAAUCACAUUUACAGUAAUCAUUUGCAUAUUAUGAUCAAUCAUUACACAAAAAAGGCAGCUCUGCAUCAAAAACAAUGUAACCCAUAAGGCAGAAAAAUCUUAUUGAAGGAUAUCUGAGUCACAGAGCUACAGCAUCCUGAUGUAUUGAUGAUACAAAACCAGUCAAGACUCAUCACUGAUACUACAAUUUCAGUAGACACAUGAUUCAGCUACACAACUAAAAUGUAGAACUUAUUACAUUUUCUUGCCC
rnacentral:lncRNA from 1 species